CUGACAGUGUAAUGUCUUGAGAUGAAGUAUGCUAUCAUGUUACUUUUUGGAUUUUUUUUUCUUUUUUUAGCAAUAACUGCAACAUGCUCAGAUGAUUGGUUGUUAGUCAGAAUGAAAAUAAGGCCCUUUGAUAACAACACAGAAGUUAGAAUUGGCGACAUACAUCUGGGAGAUAACUGUCCUGUAACAAGACUGUUGUCAUUUAACUACGAGUUUUCUUAUCCUGUCACUUCUUGUGGGAUCAAGAAAAUUUUGUUUCAGAUGUUCCAAAGAAAUGAUGAUGCCAUAUUAUCAGAGAUCAGUUACAGACCAAGGUCGCAUACUACUUAUGAAUUUCCAGUGGUUUGCUUUGUGAAGAGGCUUAAAUUCCCAUCUGCGAUGCAUUUUGGAAUGAGUGGGUUUGAUGCCAACACCUUGAAAAAAAUCCCUCAAAAAUCAAAAACAAGAGUCACCAGCUCCCACACAAAGUAAAACAUGGGCACCUAAUUUUAAAAGUGUUAAUAAGGAGCGACUCUCCAAGAAGUCACUGCAUCAAUAAUGCCUGUGUGACACCCUCUCCUCCCCAAAGCACUGCAGCAAGUGGUACCUACUUGCUGAGAACCAGUUUCAUCAGUACUGUUGAUGUGUCUGUACAAAGAUGAGUAGCAAUAUCUGUUACCAGUUUCACUACAUUUUGGAGUUUGGGAUAACAUAUCUAUACCAUGAUAUUUACAUCGUUUAAUGAGUUAAUUUUAUGAAAUUGCCAUUCUAACUCUGAAAUCACAUUCAUACGUAAUAAAACUUGCCUAU
rnacentral:lncRNA from 10 species